rnacentral:lncRNA from 1 species
AGCAAAGGCAAGCAGCUUUUAUUGUGAAGCAAAAGUACACACAAGAGAGAAGUGUGGGAGUGCCCCUGAGAGCAAGUCAUGCAAAACAAAGUUUGGGUUUCUAAUUGUAUGGGUGUUCCUUUAAUAGGGGUAAUCAUUAGGUAUUCUGGGAAAAGAGGGGAUUUCAGGGACCCCUGAUUACCACCCCUCCUCCCUUAUUUGGGUUUGCCUGGAAGAGUUACAGACAUGUCACCCUGACUGGGGUUCUGGCAGUUUUCUCUUUUGUUUUGGGUUUUCUGUUAUCCCACGGUUUCUUUGCCUAGUUCCCGUUUUAGCUGUUGUUUGGGUUUUUCUUUUUUUUUUUCAGCUGCACCAAAACCAGGGUGUUGAGAUUUUCCAUCCUCCUGUGACCACCCAGUGCUAUUCCUGUCUCAUUUGGAUCUGUAAAACUAGAAAACUAGUUAUCUGCUCCCAAACAAAAGGUUGGGAAAGACCUAGGAUAAUAGUUAUAUGUAUAUGCAUUGUUUCAAAAGGGGAGGAAAUGGAAGGGGGGAAAACAAAAAAAAUGGAACCACCAAUCCCAAGAAAAUCUGAAAUCUAGUUUGGCAAAUGCCACUGGGAGUCAAGACAUGGGAAUAUCACAUGCCUACACCCUUUAACUUCAUACUUUCAAGGUCCCUUUAGACCCAAGGUGAGCAUUUCCACUGGUAUAAAAUUUUCAAGAAUUUUGUGAGUCUCCUGUACAUCACUGAAAUUCACAACAUUAGAAAAGAGGUUUAUGCAGAUUAUUCCUCCUAGGGAAUCCCCUAUCUAUAUUUUUGGCUUUUGCUGAGAUGAGUGAUAGUUUAAACUUCUUAUAAAUUGUUUGUAUUGAGGGGAUCUACAAGUCACAUUUAAUCUCUUCAAAGAGCUUUUUGUGUGACAGUGUUCUGAUGUAUGUUUUGAUCCCGGUAUCAGCAAACAUCCUUGGCUAUCUCUCUAAAACAUCUCUCUCUCUAAAACAUCUAUCUUUCCUAACAAUGAAUCUCUUAAUUUCAAUGGUUUGUUUUUUUUUUCCAAUUAAGAUGGGCUGAGAAUUUCCCAAAUCAUCAAAUCUUAGGUCUUUUCUGUUUCACAGUUCUUCCCUGUAUGUAUCUCUUUUCCAAUAUAUUUUACUAUAAUUAGUAAGAUAUAUGGUCACACCUUCAAAACCUCUGCUUAAAAAUGUUCUCAGCUAAGUGUCCACAUAAAGACUCAUGCAUCAAUAUUUGCAGCAGCUUUUUAAUAUUUAAAAAUGGGGGUGGAGUACAGACAUCAAUUAAGAUAAAUGGAUAAACUGUGG